rnacentral:misc_RNA from 1 species
GUGAAUCAUCGAAUCUUUGAACGCAUAUUGCGCUCUCUGGCAUUCCGGAGAGUAUGCCUGUUUGAGGGUCAGUUUAAAUAAAAAUCGAGGCUUGGCUUAUGGUGACGCCACCGGACUUGGGUUAUCUUUAACCUUAAUAAAGGCUUAAAGUGACCCAAAAUUGAUGAUACCUUGUGCAUCUCAAGACUUACAUAAGAAUUUUUUGUUUAUCCGUCCGGGGUUUGCCAAAUCUUUAUUAGGUAUGACCAUGAUCGUCUGUGU